AUUUAGUGUUGGUUUUGAGGUGGGGUUAAAGUUAUUGUAUUCCAUCAAAAUGAGUGAAUCAAAACCAGAAGCCCCAGUUAACAACCCUCCUCCUUCUUAUUCAAGAAAUUUUCCUGAUUUCAAACAAUCUGUGAAGCUGAAGUAUGUAAAACUUGGUUAUCAUUACCUUAUUACUCAUGGAAUGUACCUAUUUUUAUCCCCUCUAGUUAUUGUCCUUGCUGCUCAAAUCUCUACGUUUUCGCUGAGUGACCUAUAUGUUCUUUGGGAGCAGCUUAGGUUCAAUCUCAUAUCUGUCAUCAUAUGCUCUACCCUUUUGGUCUUCCUUUCAACCCUCUAUUUCCUAACCCGUCCUCGCCCUGUAUACCUUGUUAAUUUCUCGUGCUAUAAGCCUGAAGAUGCUAGGAUAUGCACAAGGAAG
rnacentral:misc_RNA from 1 species